rnacentral:rRNA from 1 species
UUAAAUUGAGAGUUUGAUCCUGGCUCAGGACGAACGCUGGCGGCGUGCUUAACACAUGCAAGUCGAACGGGAUUUAGUAGACAGAAGCCUCGGUGGAAGAUUACUAAUGAGAGUGGCGAACGGGUGAGUAACGCGUGAGCAACCUGCCUAUGACAGUGGGAUAGCCUCGGGAAACCGGGAUUAAUACCGCAUAAAAUCGUAGAAACA